AGACGGGACCAAAAAUCGAUUGAUCUCUUCGUUUACGUCCGUAAAAUUUCGCGCGCGACUGGCAUAUUAAUUUUGUUUUGUUUUCUCUAACCUAGAUUGCAGAUUUUAUUUUAUUUUAUUGCUUUGCUUCCUGAAUGAUUUAAUUAUCACCCAUAACUAUUAUUUAUAUCGAUUUUGCCUCUAGUUAAGUGCUCACAGCAAUCAUAGUGUUUAGUGUUAACUCCGUUGCCUAUAAUAUUUGGUUCUACGCUAAUUUUGAGUUCAAAAACAAACAUUUUAGUGUUUGACUUUCAAUUUUCUAGUAAACUGUCCAGUAAUUUCUUAACUGUAUAAUUUCCUUUCUGUAUAAUAUCGUAUCUGUUUACGAUAAUUAUGGAAAUACUAAGGAAUUUCGAAAAAUAUACCUCUUGGAGAGAACAAAGUAAUAGGGAAGUCGAUUAUGCUUGUCAGACCCAAAAUAAGUUAAAGAAUGGAGAAGAACAUAUAUUUUACAUACAGUUGUAACAGGAGAGACAUCAGAGGAUUCAAUAGUUCAUGUAAAAUGAGAAAUAUUAAGUCUGAGGGAAGCAUACACAUCAAGGAACAUAGCCCUCAAGGAUUUGAGUUAAGGUUUUAAAGAUGGAUCAGAUGUAAACUUUUUUGAAACACAUGUAGGACAUGAGGACGAGUUAAGAACAAAAAGGUUAUCUAAGGCUAAAGAAAUAAAUUAUUGUUGGGCAAUUGACUGUAGCUGUGACAAAUGAAUAAAUAAUUUAAGAUUUCAGAAUGACACAUUAGUAAGGCUAAGCUUGCUAACAAGAGGUGACCUGGCAUAUCUGAUAAGGAAAUAUAAUGUUGACAAGAAAAGAGAUGGUGAUAAUAUGGUAGCCACUGCCUUAAAAAUUAAUGAAUGGCAUAGCGAAUGGAAAAAUUAUGCUUUUUUUUUCAACAUGUAUACAUGCAUAAAAAUUAAAAUAAAACUAUAA